GACGAACGCUGGCGGCGUGCUUAACACAUGCAAGUCGAACGGAAAGGCCCUGCUUUUGUGGGGUGCUCGAGUGGCGAACGGGUGAGUAACACGUGAGUAACCUGCCCUUGACUUUGGGAUAACUUCAGGAAACUGGGGCUAAUACCGGAUAGGAGCUCCUGCUGCAUGGUGGGGGUUGGAAAGUUUCGGCGGUUGGGGAUGGACUCGCGGCUUAUCAGCUUGUUGGUGGGGUAGUGGCUUACCAAGGCUUUGACGGGUAGCCGGCCUGAGAGGGUGACCGGCCACAUUGGGACUGAGAUACGGCCCGGACUCCUACGGGAGGCAGCAGUGGGGAAUAUUGCGCAAUGGGCGGAGGCCUGAUGCAGCAACGCCGCGUGCGGGAUGACGGCCUUCGGGUUGUAAACCGCUUUCGCCUGUGACGAAGCGUGAGUGACGGUAAUGGGUAAAGAAGCACCGGCUAACUACGUG
rnacentral:rRNA from 1 species